AACAGAGCCAUAUCUCCCUGCAAUUCUUGCCACUGAAGCUAAGCAGCAUGGAGCAUGGCCAGUACCUGGAUGGGAGACUUCCUGGGGAAAACUAAGGUUGCUGCUGGAA
rnacentral:rRNA from 1 species